AGUGAACGCUGGCGGUAGGCCUAACACAUGCAAGUCGAACGGCAGCACAGUAAGAGCUUGCUCUUACGGGUGGCGAGUGGCGGACGGGUGAGGAAUACAUCGGAAUCUACUUUUUCGUGGGGGAUAACGUAGGGAAACUUACGCUAAUACCGCAUACGACCUACGGGUGAAAGCAGGGGAUCUUCGGACCUUGCGCGAUUGAAUGAGCCGAUGUCGGAUUAGCUAGUUGGCGGGGUAAAGGCACACCAAGGCGACGAUCCGUAGCAGGUCUGAGAGGAUGAUCAGCCACACUGGAACUGAGACACGGUCCAGACUCCUACGGGAGGCAGCAGUGGGGAAUAUUGGGCAAUGGGCGCAAGCCUGAUCCAGCAAUACCGCGUGGGUGAAGAAGGCCUUCGGGUUGUAAAGCCCUUUUGUUGGGAAAGAAAAGCAGCAGGUUUAUACCCCGCUGUUCUGACGGUACCCAAAGAAUAAGCACCGGCUAACUUCGCG
rnacentral:rRNA from 1 species